GACGAACGCUGGCGGCGUGCUUAACACAUGCAAGUCGAGCGGUAAGGCCCUUUCGGGGUACGACGAGCGGCGAACGGGUGAGUAACACGUGGGUGACCUGCCCUCCAGCUCUGGGAGUAAGCCUGGGAAACCGGGUCUAAUACCGGAUAUGACUCCAUGACGCAUGUUGGUGGGGUGGAAAGCCUUGUGCGGCUGAGGAUGGGCCCGCGGCCUAUCAGCUUGUUGGUGGGGUGA
rnacentral:rRNA from 1 species